CUGUCAUCUCUCAUUUUGUUCAAUAAUCUGGGAAGGGAUGGACGACUUCUUAAUUCUUCCCAGAAGUAGAAAGUAGAUGCAGCCUAUGUUCAUCUUAUAUAUGAGUUUUAUCUUCAAUGAUUCUUCAUUUCAUAAAGCUAGGCGUUCUCUGCUAAUUCCAAGUAUGAAGGCUCAAAUCAAAGGGAUUUUGGCGCCCAUAUUGCACUUCUUCUUACUGGGUUUCUUAAAUCUGCUUUGCUAUUGAUGAACUUGCUCUCGGCCUUCUCUUCUUGACUUGGUUCGCUGCGAAACAGCUGCUUGGCACUUAAUGCCGGAACUCAACUCUGUAAAAUCAUAGGAUUUCUUCGUUGGCAGCUGCAUGUCUUGGAAUUUGGGCUGCUGGUUCAGAUAAUCUCGACCUCCUUUUUUACAAAAAUCGUUUCUUAUCUUUUUCUGAGACUUUUUUUCCUAUUUUUUGUUAUUUUUUGUCGGACUAUGUUUACUAUACUAGUUGGAGUUCAAGCCCUCGCUGGGGGCCAUAUGAUCUAAGACUUUGAACACCUGGAUUCAUAACAAUUUUAUUGCUCUAUUUUGUGGGUGUGCUAGAAAUUUCAUGCCUUUCUAUGCUAGUUUUGCGACAACAGAAGGAAAACUGUAAUUCUCUUUUAUUGACCAAAGUAAAUCAGGAAUUUUUUGCGAGUUUUGUUAUCGUAAUAGACUACCCAUUUUAGCCAAUUGGUAUACAAACAGAGCAGCUGGGUUCGUGUUUUCAUUGGUUUUUGUUGUUAUUUUUUUGCCUUUUUCUAAUGUUUCUUGUCGUCUGAGUACAGUCUUGCUAUUUGUGUAAUAUUGAUAGAAUUGCUAUUGUAGAUAUUCGUAAGUAGUGGAAGUUGUAUGAUUUAUUAAUUUCUGCCAAAAAAAAAUAAAUGCUCAAUUUAAUCAAAUGAAUUGAUCGUGUCAAUUUGCAGAUUGAAGAUACUCUAUUAUUGGAUGGAGAUCAAUGGUGCUGAAGUCGUUGAGCUUCGAUAUUAUUGUACAAUUAAGGUUCAUCGGUUGAUGUGUUUAGAACUCAAGAAAUUCAUUGACAGAAUCUUGGAAAUAUUACCAGCCAUCGAGUCUGCCCGACCACGAUGCACAUCAGGAAUAUAGGCACUGUGCACAUUAAAAAUUGCAAUGGAUAAAGCAAAAUUACUAAUACAGCACUGCUCAGAGUCUAGUAAACUCUGCCUGGCAAUUACAACAGAGAGGAUAGUUUCCAGAUGUGAGAAAAUAUGAAAAACUUUGGAAGUAUCUUUGAGUCAAAUUCAAAAUAUGGUCCCAUUGAUGUUGCCUGGAAAGAUAUGUGGAAUUGCCCGUGAUCUUAAGUGCGCAAAGUUGCCCCUUGAACCUUCAGAAGAAGAGGCUGGGAAGGUUAUAUUAGGACUGCUUCGACAAACAAUUCCUGUGUCCAAUUCUGUGAAUGAUUUAGAACUUGAGGCUGUUCGACUUGCAGUUUUGACACUAAAACUUACAUCACCUUCUGCAGUUUUGAUAGAGAAAAGAUCUAUUAAGCGUUUACAUGAUAAAGCCACUGACGAAGACCCUAAGAAAAAAAUCUUUAAGUGGUUUUUGUAUCUUUUGAAGAAAUAUGGAAAAAUAAUUGGAUGAUAUCAGGAUGACAGCCAUAUGCAGUGUGAUCAGACUCGAGCCAAUGACUUUGGUACACCUGAGCCUCCCAAGGAGUUCAAAUGUCCCAUCUCUAUGCAGGUGAUGCAUGAUCCAAUGAUUAUUGCUUCUGGGAAGACGUUUGAACGAUUUUGGAUAGAGCAGUGAUUUAAUGAGGGUAACCAAACAUGCCCUAUAACUCAUAUGGAGCUUGAUAACUUGUUGAUGACUCCAAACUCUAUACUGAAGGAACUCAUAUCAGCUUGGUCUUCCCAGCAGGGAAUUACUAUUCCUGACCCAUAUUUAGAACCAAACAUUUCCUCUAUUUUCUCCCUGGAUUCUUCAUUUUCCAGUUCCAUUGCCAGCUUUCCUAGUUCUGUGAAUAACUUGAACAUUCAACUUAGUGCCGUAUCCAUACACUCUUCAGGGACUGAUGAUGUUUCAGAAAUUUUAGAUGACUUCAGUGAAAGGAGAUUAAGUUCUAGGCAUGGACAGAAGAAUGCAGUUUCUGAAAAACUUAACCACUCUACAGAGAGUUAUGGAAACAUGUUGGCUUCUCAUUCCAGAGUUGCUGCACAUUCAUGGGGAUCGUAGUGCAAGACAGUUAGAGAUGUGAACAAAACACUUUGGGAAAAUAAACACGCAUGUCAUACUUCAAUUUCCAACAGUUGUGUCGAACCUUUGAUUAAAUUUUUGAAGGAUGCACAUGAAUUAAAUGAUGUAAAAGAACAGAGAGAUGGAGCUAAGGUGCUGUUGGCGAUUUUGAGAAAUAACAGCAGUGAAAUGCUACUAUUUGAUAAAGAUGGGAUUUACGUGUUGGCAUUGUAUAUUGAAACUGAAAUCACUAGAGAAGUCCUUGGUAUCAUAGAGGUUUUGUCUUCCCAACCUGAAUACAAGUCUAUGAUAGUGGCAUCUGGUGUUCUUCCUUCCAUUCUUAAAGUCCUCAAUACCAAGACUAGGGACUUUCAUAGUAUUGCAAUGAAGAUACUGUGUAAUUUGUCCUGCAAUGUGAUAUUGGAUACCAUAUGGUGUAUUUGGACUACAUUCCAAAGCUGAUUCAGUUAUUGGGUGAUCCAGAUCUGGCACGGUUUUGCAUUGAGAUCAUUAGGAACCUAUGCAGUACAGAGGAGGUUAGGAUUGCAGUAGCUGAAACCCGCUCAUGCAUCAGUGACAUUUCCCAAAUACUCGAAACUGGAACAAAGGAGGAACAAGAACAUGCUGUAGGUGUUCUUCUUUUUGUAUGUCGUGAGCAUGCUGAUUUCUGUCAACUGGUCAUGAGAGACACCAUCAUACAAUCUUUAGUUGAUUUGUCUCUCAAUGGGAAUUCCAGAGGUCAAAUAAUUGCCUUUGAAUUGCUCCUCGUCUUGGAACAUGUCAAAGAUGAUCCUGCAGAGCGUUCAUUUCCUGAAACUGAUUUGGCCCUGCUCGACAUCUCAAGCUCCUCCAGUAGCCAGUAUGAAGAUAAGAAACUGCCUUUCAAGGCAUUUCGGUUCUUUAGAAAGAUUUUAUCACUA